rnacentral:misc_RNA from 1 species
AAAAGCCUUGACUCCUUCAUUUUCGAUCAAACAAGAAGUAAACUGCUAGACUGGGCCAAGCGUUUCAACAUUAUCUGUGGGAUUGCUAGGGGUCUUCUCUAUCUGCAUCAAGAUUCAAGAUUGAGGAUUAUACAUAGGGAUCUCAAAGCAAGUAACAUAUUACUUGAUAAUGAGUUGAACCCAAAAAUUUCAGAUUUUGGCUUGGCCAAAACUUUUGGAGGUGAACAAACUGAAGGAAACACAAAUAGGGUGGUUGGAACGUAUGGAUAUAUGGCACCGGAAUAUGCUACAGACGGG